rnacentral:rRNA from 1 species
GACAGAGGCCCCAAGCGUUAGGCGGAAUCACUGGGCUUAAAGCGUGUGUAGGCGGACGCCUAAGUGUCUUGUGAAAUCCCACGGCUCACCCGUGGAACUGCUGGGCAUACUGGGCGUCUUGGGCCAACUAGGGGCAGCCGGAACAAGCGGUGGAGCGGUGAAAUGCGUAGAGAUCAGCAGGAACACCCGUGGCGAAGGCGGCCCCCUGGGCCGUACCUGACGCUGAGGCGCGAAGGCUAGGGGAGCGAACGGG